GUCUAUUAUGAAGUUGUUAAUAGUCUGGCCUGCUCCCUGAUUAUAAAUUAAAGAGCCGCGGUAAUUUGACCGUGCAAAGGUAGCAUAAUCAUUAGUUUCUUAAUUGGGAACUUGUAUGAAAGGUUUGACAAAGAAAAAGCUGUCUUUAUUAUAAAAAUUGAAUUUAACUUUUAAGUGAAAAGGCUUGAAUGAUUUAGAGGGACGAUAAGACCCUAUAAAGCUUUAUAUAAAAAAUAAUUAAGAUUGAAUUUACAAUAAUAUUCUGAAUUAAUUAUAUAUUUUGUUGGGGUGAUAUUAAUAAAAUUAAUAUUAACUGUUAAAAGAAGAUACAUAAAUAAAAGGAUUAAAACUGUUAGUGAUCCUUAUUUAAAGAUUAAAAGAUUAAGUUACUUUAGGGAUAACAGCGUAAUUUUUCUUAAGAGCCCAUAUCGAAAGAAAAGAUUUCGACCUCGAUGUUGAAUUAAGAUAUCUGUGUAGAGUAGCCGUUACAUAAGAAGGUC
rnacentral:rRNA from 1 species